AUGAACGCUAGCUACAGGCUUAACACAUGCAAGUCGAGGGGCAGCAUGGUCUUAGCUUGCUAAGGCCGAUGGCGACCGGCGCACGGGUGAGUAACACGUAUCCAACCUGCCGUCUACUCUUGGACAGCCUUCUGAAAGGAAGAUUAAUACAAGAUGGCAUCAUGAGUCCGCAUGUUCACAUGAUUAAAGGUAUUCCGGUAGACGAUGGGGAUGCGUUCCAUUAGAUAGUAGGCGGGGUAACGGCCCACCUAGUCUUCGAUGGAUAGGGGUUCUGAGAGGAAGGUCCCCCACAUUGGAACUGAGACACGGUCCAAACUCCUACGGGAGGCAGCAGUGAGGAAUAUUGGUCAAUGGGCGAGAGCCUGAACCAGCCAAGUAGCGUGAAGGAUGACUGCCCUAUGGGUUGUAAACUUCUUUUAUAAAGGAAUAAAGUCGGGUAUGGAUACCCGUUUGCAUGUACUUUAUGAAUAAGGAUCGGCUAACUCCGUGCCAGCAGCCGCGGUAAUACGGAGGAUCCGAGCGUUAUCCGGAUUUAUUGGGUUUAAAGGGAGCGUAGAUGGAUGUUUAAGUCAGUUGUGAAAGUUUGCGGCUCAACCGUAAAAUUGCAGUUGAUACUGGAUAUCUUGAGUGCAGUUGAGGCAGGCGGAAUUCGUGGUGUAGCGGUGAAAUGCUUAGAUAUCACGAAGAACUCCGAUUGCGAAGGCAGCCUGCUAAGCUGCAACUGACAUUGAGGCUCGAAAGUGUGGGUAUCAAACAGGAUUAGAUACCCUGGUAGUCCACACGGUAAACGAUGAAUACUCGCUGUUUGCGAUAUACUGCAAGCGGCCAAGCGAAAGCGUUAAGUAUUCCACCUGGGGAGUACGCCGGCAACGGUGAAACUCAAAGGAAUUGACGGGGGCCCGCACAAGCGGAGGAACAUGUGGUUUAAUUCGAUGAUACGCGAGGAACCUUACCCGGGCUUAAAUUGCAGAUGAAUUACGGUGAAAGCCGUAAGCCGCAAGGCAUCUGUGAAGGUGCUGCAUGGUUGUCGUCAGCUCGUGCCGUGAGGUGUCGGCUUAAGUGCCAUAACGAGCGCAACCCUUGUUGUCAGUUACUAACAGGUUCCGCUGAGGACUCUGACAAGACUGCCAUCGUAAGAUGUGAGGAAGGUGGGGAUGACGUCAAAUCAGCACGGCCCUUACGUCCGGGGCUACACACGUGUUACAAUGGGGGGUACAGAGGGCCGCUACCACGCGAGUGGAUGCCAAUCCCCAAAACCUCUCUCAGUUCGGACUGGGGUCUGCAACCCGACUCCACGAAGCUGGAUUCGCUAGUAAUCGCGCAUCAGCCACGGCGCGGUGAAUACGUUCCCGGGCCUUGUACACACCGCCCGUCAAGCCAUGGGAGCCGGGGGUACCUGAAGUGCGUAACCGCGAGGAGCGCCCUAGGGUAAAACUGGUGACUGGGGCU
rnacentral:rRNA from 1 species